AUUGAACGCUGGCGGCAGGCUUAACACAUGCAAGUCGAGCGAGCGGCGGACGGGUGAGUAAUGUCUGGGACACUGCCUGAUGGAGGGGGAUAACUACUGGAAACGGUACCUAAUACCGCAUACCAUCAGAUGUGCCCAGGUGGGAUUAGCUAGUUGGUGGGGUAAUGGCUCACCUAGGCGACGAGCCCUAGCUGGUCUGAGAGCAUGACCGGCCACACGGGAACGGAGACACGGUCCAGACUCCUACGGGAGGCAGCAGUGGGGAAUAUGGCACAAUGGGCGCAAGCCUGAUGCAGCCAUGCCGCGUGAGUGAAGAAGGCCUUCGGGUUGUAAAGCACUUUCAGCGGGGAGGCGUUACUCGCAGAAGAAGCACCGGCUAACUCCGUGCCAGCAGCCGCGGUAAUAC
rnacentral:rRNA from 1 species